AUUAACAUACAACUACUUUCAUCGCUUGUUCAGCUAUUCGAGGUAUGCCCGCUGCCGCCCGUGCUCUUUACAGGGUAUACCAAAGCAGAGUUAACUGUUAACAACAAUAACAAACAAUGUAAUGCAUAUGGGGCCCGGGCCAGUCCAACUGGGCACACUCGGAACGGAGAACUCUUUUUAGGGUUUCGUCGCUUGUCGCUGGCUGCUGGGCGCCUGUUGCCCACUCAAAUAAUCGAUCGCAAAUUAUUUAUUGAUUUUUGAUUGAUGAGCCUCAGGUGAUUUACGCAAAUGUAUGUGAGGCCCCCCUAUUGUGGCGCUGCGUGGAUAUUUCGGCGCCAAACAAAGCUCAUCUGACUUCUGUCCGUUUGGGGCGGAUUAGUUAGCUUUGCUGAUGCGGCUAACAGCAAUGCGAAGAGGCAGAGAUCGAGCUGUGCGGUGCCGUGCCAUGCCGUGCCGAGUGGAGUCAAACAGCCGCAGCAAUUCAGGUUGAAUUUGAAUAAUAUUAUCAGGUUGCAAGAGCCCCACCAGCUGUGACAGCCGAAUUUGAUAAGCCAGCGCUAUCGCUACAUAUGUAAAUUAUAUGACGCAUUCGUAAUAAAUACUUUGUUGUCAGUUCUAUUUA